rnacentral:rRNA from 1 species
CGCGUAGGCGGAUAAUUAAGUCGGAUGUGAAAUCCCCGGGCUCAACCUGGGAACUGCAUCCGAUACUGGUUAUCUAGAGUACGAUAGAGGGUGGUAGAAUUUCUUGUGUAGCGGUGAAAUGCGUAGAUAUAAGAAGGAAUACCAGUGGCGAAGGCGGCCACCUGGAUCGAUACUGACGCUGAGGUGCGAAAGCGUGGGGAGCAAACA